GUGUAGUGCCUGGAGGGAGGGCAGCAGGGUGCCCUGAGGAUUGACAGAGGUGCCAGGCCAGCUGGGCGGCUGGAGUGCAUGUUUGGCAGGGGAGUCACGUCUGUGCGAGGACGGCUGGCCAGGGGAGUACCUGGACGUGCUUGGAGUGCGGUGUCAGGUGGGCAGCGGAGGUGAGUCCCUGACUGAUGGAUCGGGCACAGUUGGGAUAAAUGCUCGCUCGGCACGCUGCCUGGAUGGUGUUUCUGGCUGUAAAAAGUGGCCAGAGAGAACCUGGCCUCUCCCCUGCCUUCCAGCCCCUUUUGCCCCUGGGGGGUGUGACAAUACGUUCCAGCACUGUUAGUCUAUGACCUGAAAAGAACUGUCACUCCUUUUAAGAUCUGACAAGUCUCCAUUUGGCAAGAGGAGCUUCAUCACUCGAAGGAAAGUGGAUCUUGCUAAAAUAGUACCCACCCUUCUCCAACCCUGUCUUGGGAUAAAAUCUGUUAUGUGAAUUAAAUGCACAGAUAACAUCCGUAAGGUCUGUUUCACAAUUCUAAAAAGGUCCCCAAAAUUCCAACUGAGUUUCAAUUAGAGCACUGUAAGUAACAAAGUAUUUCAUCUUAUUAAAAUGGAGUCAUUUGUCUAAAUUUAAAAUUUCAUAAAGAUUGUUUUCAAAUUGUAAAUUUAAAAGGCAAGAAAGAGAUGUAAGAUGUUUUGUGAUGGGAAAUUAGAUAUAAGGUUUGUGAUGGGAAAAGGAAAGGGAGAAGGUUUGUGUGACAAAAAGUUUCCUACAAGUGACAAAAAGUUCUGAGGAAGUGAUAAAAAAAAAAGUCUGAGUAAGUUAAAGGUAAAUUUCAAAAUGUCUGAUUUAUUUGAAAUUUAAUGUAAUGGCAUAAAACAAAGUCUGAAACAUUGAUGUACUCUUAUCAAGAUAAUUUUCUUGUAUUUGUCAGGUUUAAUUCUUGGUGAAACUAAGUCUUAAAGAAAUUAAGGUGUGUUCCUGUUUUAAAUUCUUAAAUGAUUACUUUGUAACUGGUUAAACAAACAACUGUUAUUUAGGUUAUAACAAUAUUGUUGAAACCCAAAAUAUAUGUGACUAGGAAUAUGUGUGCAUCUGAGAACUGUAUCUGCCUUAGCCUUGUCCAAGUGUUAUGUAAAUGUUUAAAGACCUGCCUUGUAUCUGUGGGCUUUGACUAAGUCAAUUUCUGAUCACUAACACUGUUUCCUGAAUGUGUAAGAGAUUUAAGGUUAUUCUUUGCUUUUCAUUUUCGCAUACAGACCCUGUGAUUAUUGUUACCGUACACACUGGAUUCUAAAUUGUAUUUUAAAAGUUAAAGAUAGUGAAAUAUAAAGCUUAGGAGAAUACUUUGCCAAGUUAGUGCUCUCCAAACUAAAAUUGUGUGUAACAAAGGUUUCAAAUUUGGGGCUCAGUGGCAGAGGCACUGGGUUCAAUUCUC
rnacentral:lncRNA from 1 species